UGGAUUAGAUACCCUGGUAGUCCACGCUGUAAACGAUGGGCACUAGGUGUGGGGGGUGUCGACUCCCUCCGUGCCGAAGCUAACGCAAUAAGUGCCCCGCCUGGGGAGUACGGCCGCAAGGCUAAAACUCAAAGGAAUUGACGGGGGCCCGCACAAGCAGCGGAGCAUGUGGUUUAAUUCGACGCAACGCGAAGAACCUUACCUGGGCUUGACAUGUUCCUGACCGCCCUGGAAACAGGGUUUCCCUUCGGGGCAGGAUCACAGGUGGUGCACGGUCGUCGACAGCU
rnacentral:rRNA from 1 species